UGGGGAAUAUUGGACAAUGGGCGCAAGCCUGAUCCAGCCAUGCCGCGUGAGUGAAGAAGGCCUUAGGGUUGUAAAGCUCUUUCGGCGGGGACGAUGAUGACGGUACCCGCAGAAGAAGCCCCGGCUAACUUCGUGCCAGCAGCCGCGGUAAUACGAAGGGGGCAAGCGUUGUUCGGAUUUACUGGGCGUAAAGGGCGCGUAGGCGGAUGGACCAGUCAGAGGUGAAAGCCCUGGGCUCAACCCGGGAAUUGCCUUUGAAACUGUUCAUCUUGAGUAUGGGAGAGGAUGGCGGAAUACCCAGUGUAGAGGUGAAAUUCGUAGAUAUUGGGUAGAACACCAGUGGCGAAGGCGGCCAUCUGGCCCAUAACUGACGCUGAGGCGCGAAAGCGUGGGGAGCAAACAG
rnacentral:rRNA from 1 species